rnacentral:rRNA from 1 species
UUGUCUCAAAGAUUAAGCCAUGCAUGUCUCAGUACAAGCCAAAUUAAGGUGAAACCGCGAAAGGCUCAUUAAAUCAGUUAUGGUUCCUUAGAUCGUACCAUUAGUUACUUGGAUAACUGUGGUAAUUCUAGAGCUAAUACAUGCAAACAGAGCUUUGACCUGAAAAGGAAGAAGCGCUUUUAUUAGAUCAAAACCAAUCGGUGACUAGCAAAUUUUUGUUCGUCAUCGUAUAAUAUGGUGAAUCUGAAUAACUUUAUGCUGAUCGCACGGUCUUGCACCGGCGACGUAUCUUUCAAAUGUCUGCCUUAUCAACUGUCGAUGGUAGGUUCUGCGCCUACCAUGGUUGUAACGGGUAACGGGGAAUCAGGGUUCGAUUCCGGAGAGGGAGCCUGAGAAACGGCUACCACAUCCAAGGAAGGCAGCAGGCGCGCAAAUUACCCACUCCCGGCACGGGGAGGUAGUGACGAAAAAUAACGAUACGGGACUCAUCCGAGGCCCCGUAAUCGGAAUGAGUACACUCUAAACCCUUUAACGAGGAUCAAUUGGAGGGCAAGUCUGGUGCCAGCAGCCGCGGUAAUUCCAGCUCCAAUAGCGUAUAUUAAAGUUGUUGCGGUUAAAAAGCUCGUAGUCGGAUUUGUGUCGCACGCCGCCGGUUCAUCGUUCGCGGUGUUAACUGGCGUGCCGUGAGACGUCCUGCCGGUGGGCUUAGCUCGCAAGGGCGGCCCAAUUCAAUCCUGCCGCGGUGCUCUUCAUUGAGUGUCGAGGUGGGCCGGCACGUUUACUUUGAACAAAUUAGAGUGCUUAAAGCAGGCUAAAAUUUUGCCUGAAUACUGUGUGCAUGGAAUAAUGGAAUAGGACCUCGGUUCUAUUUUGUUGGUUUUCGGAACCCCGAGGUAAUGAUUAAUAGGAACGGAUGGGGGCAUUCGUAUUGCGACGUUAGAGGUGAAAUUCUUGGAUCGUCGCAAGACGGACAGAAGCGAAAGCAUUUGCCAAAAA